rnacentral:rRNA from 1 species
UACGUAGGGGGCGAGCGUUGUCCGGAUUUAUUGGGCGUAAAGAGCGUGUAGGCGGUUCGGUAAGUCUGUCGUGAAAUCCUGAGGCUCAACCUCGGAACUGCCUUUGAUACUGCAAAUCUCGAGUCCGGAAGAGGUGAGUGGAAUUCCUAGUGUAGAGGUGAAAUUCGUAGAUAUUAGGAAGAACACCAGUGGCGAAGGCGGCUCACUGGUCCGGUACUGACGCUGAGGUGCGAAAGCGUGGGGAGCAAACAGG